UGUACCAGUUGUUCCGCCAGGAGCAGUGCUGGGUAGCUAUGAUCGGAAAGGAUAACCGCUGAAGGCAUCUAAGCGGGAAGCCCCCCUCAAAACAAGGUAUCCCUGAGAACCGAGGUAGACCACCUCGUCGAUAGGCCAGAGAUGUAAGCGUGGUAACACGCUCAGUUGACUGGUACUAAUUGUUCGAUAGGCUUGAU
rnacentral:rRNA from 1 species